rnacentral:misc_RNA from 1 species
ACCUACUGUUUAAUUUUGAGGGUUCGUUUUUACGAAUACUCAAAAUUAGCACUUUAAGCAACGGGAUUUAUCCGUUGGCGCCGUGCGUUAGCACUUUUAGCAACGGAAUUUAUUCGUUGGCGCUGUGCGUUAGCACUUUGAAAACUGCAUAUAUAUUUAGUGAUAUGACAUCUAAUUUGUAAUAUAUAAAGCUGAUAACUUUUUAAAAUUAUCGAAGUUGAUAGCUUCUAAUCUAUCAAACCUUUUUAACUGGUCAA